UUAAGCGAAAAAAGCCCCAUUUUUCUGCCCUACUCUACCGGGCAGCUUUGCUAUUCUUCUCUCUCGCUCUCUCUUUACCAAGCCUAAGCCAAAGCCCAAGCUUGCACUUUUCUUGCUUAAUAUUUGCUCAAGCCGAAGCCUAAUCUUCUCAAACCACAAUCGAAUCAGCACAUCAUAACAUGCAUUUCAGAGUGUAUGGAACAUAAAGAGGAGUUGUUGUACAUGAAAAAUGAUGAUGUUUGCGCAUUAGCUGUUGCGGGCUUGGAAAGGAAGAAGAUUUCUAUUGAUGAGGGUUUUAGUAUCAUUAGUCAUUGGCCCCUUACACAUGAGCAGAAUGAUUUUGUUUGAAGAACGCGGCUAUAGCCUCUUGUUCCGUAUGCUACCAUGGAGGGGGCACCGUGACAGAUUGACCACCCUCUUAUGGAGGCAGUGAAAGAGAGAUGGCGCCCAGAGACGAUUAUACUGUUUCAUGCAUUUUUUUCAGCUAUAUAUGUGUAUAUGUAAUUAUUGUAUAUGUUGUCUAGUCAUGGGUAUUUGAGCAUUUCAAAACAUUGCAGUCUAAGGGAAGUAGUCGAUGGGUUGAAGCUGAUAUCCCAAGGGCCGCAAAUGGGAUAACUCAGUUACUAAUGUCGUAUACUAUCGGCAUGAAUUAGAUCUCCUUGAACCUAAAAGGGUAUAAUUACAAUGCUUAUUAGUUAAUAUAUUAUUACA